rnacentral:rRNA from 1 species
UACGGAGGGUGCAAGCGUUGUUCGGAAUUACUGGGCGUAAAGCGCGUGUAGGCGGCCGAUUAAGUCUGGUGUGAAAGCCCGGGGCUCACCCCCGGAAGUGCGCUGGAAACUGGUCGGCUAGAGUAUGGGAGAGGAAAGUGGAAUUCCCGGUGUAGCGGUGAAAUGCGCAGAUAUCAGGAGGAACACCGGUGGCGAAGGCGGGUCUCUGGGCCGUAACUGACGCUGAGGAGCGAAAGCGUGGGGAGCGAACAGG